AUGUUCAUGUACCCGGAGGCAAACAUCCCAGUGUGCCAGCUCUCCGUGCAGACCCACCGCGACGACACCUACCACUACAACCUCGGCAAGGCGCUGGCGCCCCUCAGGGGCGAAGGCGUCCUCGUCUUUGGCUCCGGGAGCACGACACACAACCUCGGCAAGAUGGGGCGUGACGACGAGCCGGUGCGACAGUGGGCCUCCAACUUCGACACCUGGCUCAGGGACUCACUUCUCGCCGGAAGGUACGAUGACGUGAAACACUACGAGGAGAAGGCGCCCCAUGCCAAGACGGCGCACCCGUCGCCGGAGCAUUUCUACCCGCUGCUUGUCACGCUCGGCGUUGCCGGGGACGAGCCUAAGGCAGAGCCCAUCCACCAUAGCUGGGCUGAAGCUAACAUGUCAUACGCCUUGUACCAUUUCACCACGAAGGACUGA
rnacentral:rRNA from 1 species